UCGCUACUACCGAUUGAAUGGCUUAGUGAGCCCUCUGGACUAUUGCACAGCAUUGGAAACUUUGUUGCGCAUUUGGGAAGGAGGUCAAACUUGAUCAUUUAGAGGAAGUAA
rnacentral:rRNA from 1 species